rnacentral:rRNA from 1 species
GAUCCUGGCUCAGGAUGAACGCUAGCUACAGGCUUAACACAUGCAAGUCGAGGGGAAACGACAUCGAAAGCUUGCUUUUGAUGGGCGUCGACCGGCGCACGGGUGAGUAACGCGUAUCCAACCUGCCCGCCACUUGGGGAUAACCUUGCGAAAGUAAGACUAAUACCCAAUAAUAUCUCUAGAAGACAUCUGAAAGAGAUUAAAGAUUUAUCGGUGAUGGAUGGGGAUGCGUCUGAUUAG